rnacentral:tRNA from 2 species
UGUCCCGUGGUGUAAUGGUAACACAAAAGUCUCUGGAUCUUUUGUUGGGGGUUCGAGUCCUCCCGGGACAA